rnacentral:tRNA from 1 species
GCAUUGCUGGUUCAGUGGUAGAAUUGUUGCCUUCCAAGCAAUAGACCUGGGUUUGUUUCUGAGCCAAUGCA